rnacentral:rRNA from 1 species
AGAGUUUGAUCAUGGCUCAGAAUCAACGCUGGCGGCGUGCCUAACACAUGCAAGUCGAACGCGAAAGUCCCGCAAGGGAUCAGUAGAGUGGCAAACGGGUGAGUAACACGUGGGUGACCUGCCUUCGAGCGGGGGAUAACGUCCCGAAAGGGACGCUAAUACCGCAUAACAUCCUGCCUUUGAAGAGGUGGAGAUCAAAGCUGGGGAUCGCAAGACCCGGCACUUGAAGAGGGGCCCGCGUCUGAUUAGCUAGUUGGUGGGGUAAUGGCCUACCAAGGCAACGAUCAGUAUCCGGCCUGAGAGGGCGGACGGACACACUGGGACUGAGACACGGCCCAGACUCCUACGGGAGGCAGCAGUGGGGAAUUGUUCGCAAUGGGCGCAAGCCUGACGACGCAACGCCGCGUGGAGGAUGAAGAUUUUCGGAUCGUAAACUCCUGUCGAAUGGGACGAAUAGAUUGCGGGUUAACAGCCCGUGGUCCUGACGGUACCGUUAAAGGAAACCCCGGCUAACUCCGUGCCAGCAGCCGCGGUAAUACGGGGGGGGUAAGCGUUGUUCGGAAUUACUGGGCGUAAAGGGCUCGUAGGCGGCCAACUAAGUCAUACGUGAAAUCCCUCAGCUUAACUGGGGAACUGCGUGUGAUACUGGAUGGCUUGGAUUUGGGAGAGGGAUGCGGAAUUCCAGGUGUAGCGGUGAAAU